GACGAACGCUGGCGGCGUGCCUAACACAUGCAAGUCGAACGGUGAACCGGGCUUCGGCCCGGGGAUCAGUGGCGAACGGGUGCGUAACACGUGGGCAACCUGCCCCCGACAUCGGGAUAACCCCAGGAAACCGGGGCUAAUACCGGAUACUCCGGCCGAACCACAUGGUGCGGCCGGGAAAGGUCCGCCUGUCGGGGAUGGGCCCGCGGCCUAUCAGCUUGUUGGUGGGGUAAUGGCCCACCAAGGCGUCGACGGGUAGCNGGUCUGAGAGGACGACCAGCCACACUGGGACUGAGACACGGCCCAGACUCCUACGGGAGGCAGCAGUGGGGAAUCUUGCGCUAAUGCGCGAAAGCGUGACGCAGCGACGCCGCGUGGGGGACGAAGGCCCUCGGGUCGUAAA
rnacentral:rRNA from 1 species